rnacentral:rRNA from 1 species
GCCGGCAGCCAUAUCACCCUGUAGCCCAAGACUGGUUGCCCAUUGAAGCUAAGCAGGGUUGAGGCUGACCAGUACCUGGAUGGGAGACCUCUUGGGAAAACUAGGUUGCUGUUGGAA